rnacentral:rRNA from 1 species
CGCCCCCUGAAAAACCAUAGGGGGUCCAGCCUGCCCAGUGACACCAGUUCAACGGCCGCGGUAUCCUGACCGUGCGAAGGUAGCGUAAUCACUUGUCUUUUAAAUUAAGACUAGUAUGAAAGGCACCACGAGAAUCACACUGUCUCCUUUUUCUAAUCUGUGAAACUAAUCUUCCCGUGAAGAAGCGGGAAUUUUCACAUAAGACGAGAAGACCCUAUGGAGCUUCAGACAAAAUAAUGCUUUCCCCCCCCCCCAAUUUUCUUUAAAGAAAAACAUUUACUCGAUACCAAUUAUUAAGUCUUAGGUUGGGGCGACCACGGAGUAAAAAUUACCCUCCGUGCUGAACAGGACCUCCUUAAAUAAGAGCCACAGCUCUACGAAUCAAUAAAUUGACAAUAUUUGACCCAAUUAUCUUGAUCAACGAAACAAGUUACCCUAGGGAUAACAGCGCAAUCCACUUCAAGAGCCCUUAUCAACAAGUGGGUUUACGACCUCGAUGUUGGAUCAGGGUGUCCCAGUGGUGCAACCGCUACUAAAGGUUUGUUUGUUCAACAAUUAAAACCCUACGUGAUCUGAGU